UACGGGGGGGGCAAGCGCUGUUCGGAAUUACUGGGCGUAAAGGGCUCGUAGGCGGCCAACUAAGUCAGACGUGAAAUCCCUCGGCUUAACCGGGGAACUGCGUCUGAUACUGGAUGGCUUGAGUGUAGGAGAGGGAUGCGGAAUUCCAGGUGUAGCGGUGAAAUGCGUAGAUAUCUGGAGGAACACCGGUGGCGAAGGCGGCAUCCUGGACUACUACUGACGCUGAGUGAGCGAAAGCCAGGGGAGCAAACGGG
rnacentral:rRNA from 1 species